AGAGUUUGAUCAUGGCUCAGAUUGAACGCUGGCGGCAGGCCUAACACAUGCAAGUCGAGCGGAUGACGGGAGCUUGCUCCUUGAUUCAGCGGCGGACGGGUGAGUAAUGCCUAGGAAUCUGCCUGGUAGUGGGGGACAACGUUUCGAAAGGAACGCUAAUACCGCAUACGUCCUACGGGAGAAAGCAGGGGACCUUCGGGCCUUGCGCUAUCAGAUGAGCCUAGGUCGGAUUAGCUUGUUGGUGAGGUAAUGGCUCACCAAGGCGACGAUCCGUAACUGGUCUGAGAGGAUGAUCAGUCACACUGGAACUGAGACACGGUCCAGACUCCUACGGGAGGCAG
rnacentral:rRNA from 1 species